rnacentral:lncRNA from 1 species
UGUUGAACAGCUGAGCUGGUGCAGGCACCCUCCCCUCUUCCUGAUUUCGGUGGGAAAGUUUCUAAAGUUCCACCAAGUUUCAUUGCUUGCUCUGAAUUUAUGGCUGAAUAUAUGGCAGGAACCACUUCUCCUACCUUCAGUUCCAAUUGGAAAAUGAAUUUCUCAGUUUCUUAUCAACUUAAAUGAUGUGCUCCUCGUCCCCUGCCCUCCUCUCUCUUCUCUCAGAGCCUCAGACUAAGUGAAAAUAUUCCCCUCAGCAUUUGCUGUCUGCUUUCAAGGCUCUUCUAGACGACCUGCCCAUGCUCAGCAGCCCCCGAGACGGUCAUCACGAGGACCUGUUCACGUUUCUGAAUUCAAGUGAAUGGGAACAUUUGCACCUGUGCUGGGCUUGCUCCUGAGUUGUGUUCCAAAUCGUGAAUUUUCUCUGCAUAUCUUCAUGGACAAGCUUAGGGCCUUUUUAGCUUUACUGAAUGUCAGGGUAAAAUAAUUUCUUUACAGCAUUCAAGUGAGUUGCUGCCCAUGAGAAGGACAAAGCUGAGAUGCUGAGUGGCUGCUUGGUGACUGGCUGGGUGCCACCACCAUUGAUAGGCCUUGUUCCUGUUAUUUGUCACUGAGCACAGGUGAUCCAAACUCAUGCCUCAAUAAAAUGAUGAAUUACCUUAACUGCCUUUGGAGUUACUCUGAUCACAAACCAAAAUUCAUGAGUGCAAGAGUCUACUGAUUCAGAAUUUAAUGAACACAUGCAUUUUUUAACCCUUUUUAUUCCUUUCUGAGUAGGAGUGCAAUUAAGGGACAUCUGAAAAGAGAUUUUUCUCUAUAUCAAACGACACAGAUCUGACUCACGUUCUUCCUUGGGCUCCCCCAACAGAGCUAAUCACAUUAACCCAAACUCUGAUAAAUGCUGCUGUGAUGUGAUCCAUAUGCGACAACUAUGUACCUUCCCGGUAUACAGUCAUCUCCCAAUUAUCUGUACAAAUGCAGGGGUGCGGUGGUGCAGAUAAUUCAAAACAGCAAACAAUCCAAAUGCCAUUUCUGCUUGGCUUGAGAAUACAUUAUGCAAAUCUUUGGCAGCAAAUUUACCUUCUUUAUUACAUUUUGCUUGGAUUCAUAUUAAAAAAAUUGUUUGUCUUCUCUCCGAGUGUGUGCGUGUGCAUGUGGGGGAAGGGGGGAAAAUGGCACCCCUGGAGUUCAAGAGAAUCAUAAAACCUUGGCACUGAAAGGAGCCUUAGAAUUGUAAUGAAACAUCCUCCUUCAUUUUUUUAGAGGAGAGGUUAUGUGACUUAGGUGGGAUCCCAAAUUAAACCGGUGACAGAGCAGGGACCAGACUUAGCUCUCUGACUCCCUCAUUCCAAGGGGAGAAACACUAUUAAAUCUGAAGCCUGACUGCUGGACAAACCCAAACACAUAAACGAUCUUGUUAAUCGAUCCAAAGGGUGAAGCCAUGUGCAUGCUCACUCUGGAGGCACGGACUUCCUAACAAGGCUGACUCAGAAGGCUCCACCUCCAUGCAGACUAGACAACACCUGUUUCCCCAAGGCAGCUGACAGGCCUGGUGGGCUCUGAGCAUUCUUACCACGUGCUGCUGGGAUUUGAGUGGCUUGGCGUCAGCCAAGAGCGCUCAAGAAGGGUCACCUGACUUCUGUGUGAGUUGGGAGUAGGGAAUUGCUGGAAGGCCACAAACACUGGAAUUAGUGCAUCUGUACCUUGGGGAGCACGGCAAGGGAGAGCACGUGCAAGUACUACUGUGCUUUGAAUCAAGACUCCAGCAGCAUAUGCCAACCUGAUGGGUAACCUGGGACUUGGCUUCCAGUGAGUUAAGUUGACCUUGAAUCACAGCUAAAGAGCAAACAUGAAGCAGAUAGGCAGGCCUCCACCUUGGCUAACCUCCCCAAGAAAUACAAGCAGUGAGGUUCAAUAAAAGACAUUCACAAGAUCAGCCAGCCAGCAAAUAGCAGCUCAGGUGCCUUUGGGGAGCUGGGUGGCUGGAGGGGACAGUAAUGCACUAUGCUGGGUUGCCAUGCUCCGCAUCGACUUCCAAUCCAACAGGCAGCUGUGCCAAGGGUCAUCAUCAGCUAAUGACUUUUUGUAGCUUGGAGCCAACUGGCGGUAUUUCCUCCUGCUUUCCUGUGUGGGCAGGUGUUCUCAGUGCCUUGGGUCCUCCUGGCGCAAUUCAGCAGAAGGUGCUGGAGCACCUGGAGGUGCUCGGAGGCUGGUAUAGCAUUGGAGGCUGGCUUCAAAAGGGGAUUCAAAUCCUAAGGUUGAGGAGAUGCUCUGGGCAGAGACACAGGCAGGGUUUGCUUUGAGCUUUCAGUCUGGCAAAUCAGGUCUACCAACACUGCUCGCCUGUCCUACACACCCUUAUUUUCUGACAAGAAUGAAGACAAAUAUUUACCUUUGAAUGCAGAAUAAAGUCUGAAACUAUUUAAUGGGUGAAAGGCCUUCUUUUUAAUCAGAGAUGAAUUUUAUUAAUGUUUUAUUAAUUCUUUCUGGGCAAAGCCAUUUUCUCUGCUCAUAGCAACAUCUGCUUAGAACUGCUAGGGUUAUCACUAAUAGCAACGUUGUAAUACAGUAGGUUUCUAACAAUAAUACGUAAUAGCAAUAUAACUUUUGUUUAUGAAAUGUUAAUAUGGAUGGGAUAGUUUGCAGAGAAUUCCCCAUUUAAUUCUUACAAUAACAUGUAAAGUAGAUAAGAGCGUUGUAUUAUCUCCAGGGCUUCUCAGAGGUAAACUGGCUUACCCAAGGACACAGUGGAGUGGAACGUUGAACCCAAGUCUUAUCAUUCUUUUUCAGGUUCCAUGGCUCUCCCUCCAAAUACUUAGGAGGGAAAGAUUAAAUGGCUUACGAUAAGACAAAGUGAGGGCUAUAUGCUCCCCCCGCCCCCAGUCCCGGGCAGGAUGCUCAGUUCAUCGUGGGUAGAGCAAUGAUGCAUUGAACGCACUGCUCUAGAUUACACCUGC